GUGGCUGUGGCCUAAUGGUUAAGGCACCUGUCUGUGGAACAGGAAAUUGUGGGUUCGAGCCCCAUCAGCCACC
rnacentral:tRNA from 1 species